GCCCUGGUAGUCCAAUGGCAGAGACGAUACUCUCAAACAGUAUUCAGUGUGGGUUCGAAUCCCACCCAGGGCA
rnacentral:tRNA from 2 species